UGCUCGCCCUUUUUGCUGCUGCGAUGGCGUCCAGUGCAGUGUCGGUCCCGGAGUGGCGUCUGCAAGGUUGCACGGCCAUGGGCGAGCCCUGGGCUAAGUGGCCCAUCGCUCGAAGGAGACUUGAAAUAAGCCGCAGGACGACGAGGUGCAUUUGAAAGAAAGAAUAUAGCCGCCAAGACAUCCUGCGUGUGGGAGCAUGAGCCCUGGUUGACGCGUGCCCAGCCCGGGAUCCGGAGGCAGAACCCGGUCCUGGCCGAGAGGCUCAGGGAGAGGCCUGGGGAGCCGGACAUCUGCAACACACCUCGGACUGCCCCAGAUUCACCUGAAGUCACACUUAACAGGCUUUUCGACCCCGACUACCAUGGACUAGGAAUUGUGGCAGGGGAGAGGUAAAAGGGCAAUUUGUUAGGAUAGCUCUCCAUUGCCACUGUAGAUCUCUUGAAAUUGAUUUUCCUGCAACUCAGACCCUCCUCGGCUGGCAGGUUUAUGUUGACUGCUUUCCAGAAGCAGAACUGUGACUUGUAAGAUUCUGAAAUAUGUGUGGCAGUGUCAGGUAACUGAUUGCCAGGUUGCCAUCCAAAUUUCAGAUGGUGUUUUGUAUUCAUUAAAACCACAGCGUUAUGGUUUAGCAUUUAGUUUGGUGAGCAAUGGUGUGGCAUCCUCUUGAAAAAGUACCUGCUCUGCUUCUGA